rnacentral:lncRNA from 10 species
AACAUGGCAUGGUCACUGACCAGUGGACUGAGGACUGACAUUGGACCAUAGUGCUAGGCAGAGCCUUGCUGUGCCAAGGUUAACCCUUUUGUUGCCAGAUGAGGUCUGGGGUUCUGGAGAGGAGGUGGGGCAGGCAGAUCAGUGGUGCAGUAGCUAUUUGGUCUCAAAUCAUAGCAAUAUUUUAACAACUGGUACAGUUCCAGAAAGUGCAUCCUGGCUGAACAUCAUCUCUGGUGAUAGCUCUUUGCAGGGCAUGGGUGGUGACUCCCAGCAGAGCUGGCACCAACCUAUGUCACUCCCUAGAUCCAGAGUAUCACAGAUGAGUCACGAGGCUCAAUCCGGAGAAAGAAUCCAGCCAACACGCGGCUCCGCCUGAACGUCCCAGAAGAGACGGCUGGUGACAGUGAAGAGAAGCCAGAGGAGGAGGUGCAGCUGAUCCACGAUCAGAGUGCUCCCAGCUGCCCCAGCAGCUCCCCGUCCCCAGGGGAGGAGCCUGAGGGGGAAGGGGAGACAGAUCCGGAGAAGGUGCAUCUCACCUGGACCAAGGACAAGUCGGUGGCAGAGAAGAAUAA